UUCCUGCGGGAGCGCUUGACCGCCUCUGCCUUGUUCCCCAGCCGUCCUGGCGCGGCCGGUGGCCCUGGAGGAGCCGCUCCGGAUCCAGCUGCGGAUUAUCCAGAUCCUGUCCAGGCUGGAGGAAGGCUGUUAUCACCUGUGUUAAGAACAAAGAAUAUGAACAUGCCAGCAAAAUCUUAAGGGAACACAUGUCACAGGAUCCAAACUGCAAGCAAAUGUCUGUAAUUUUGAAUCACAUCAUCCGAAAGAAAAACCCAUCUCAUCCAGCCAUCUCUAAUUUGUCCUGCAAAGUUUUCCAGCAACGGAUUUUUCUCGUCUUUAAAUCUUACUUGGACGAUUCUGAGCCAUUUCUCUUAGUGGUGAGUGUUGCUUUUCACGCCAGUUUGGUCUUAAUGAGUUUAAUUUGAU
rnacentral:lncRNA from 1 species